AUUGAACGCUGGCGGAAUGCUUUACACAUGCAAGUCGAACGGCAGCACGGACUUCGGUCUGGUGGCGAGUGGCGAACGGGUGAGUAAUAUAUCGGAACGUAUCCAAUAAUGGGGGAUAACUAAUCGAAAGGUUGGCUAAUACCGCAUACGUCAUACGGGAGAAAGCUAGGGACCUUCGGGCCUGGCGUUAAGGGAGCGGCCGAUAUCUGAUUAGCUAGUUGGUGAGGUAAAGGCUCACCAAGGCGACGAUCAGUAGCUGGUCUGAGAGGACGACCAGCCACACUGGAACUGAGACACGGUCCAGACUCCUACGGGAGGCAGCAGUGGGGAAUUUUGGACAAUGGGCGCAAGCCUGAUCCAGCCAUUCCGCGUGAGUGAAGAAGGCCUUCGGGUUGUAAAGCUCUUUCGCAAGGGAAGAAAACUUAUCCUCUAACAUAGGAUGAGGUUGACGGUACCUUGAUAAGAAGCACCGGCUAACUACGUGCCAGCCGCCGCCGUAAUAC
rnacentral:rRNA from 1 species